CAAUAACAUAUUGGUCCAACUUGCCUUAGAAUAGGGGAGCUUAACUUAUGUUUUUGAUGUUUAAGUUAAAAGCCUCUGUUCUAAGACAAUUUGAUGAUCA
ensembl:ncRNA mir-964 mir-964 stem loop